rnacentral:rRNA from 1 species
CCUACGGGGGGCUGCAGUGGGGAAUAUUGGACAAUGGGGGCAACCCUGAUCCAGCCAUGCCGCGUGUGUGAAGAAGGCCCUCGGGUUGUAAAGCACUUUCAGUGAGGAAGAACGCCUGGUGGUUAAUACCCAUCAGGAAAGACAUCACUCACAGAAGAAGCACCGGCUAACUCCGUGCCAGCAGCCGCGGUAAUACGGAGGGGGCGAGCGUUAAUCGGAAUUACUGGGCGUAAAGCGCGCGUAGGUGGCUUGAUAAGCCGGUUGUGAAAGCCCCGGGCUCAACCUGGGAACGGCAUCCGGAACUGUCAAGCUAGAGUGCAGGAGAGGAAGGUAGAAUUCCCGGUGUAGCGGUGAAAUGCGUAGAGAUCGGGAGGAAUACCAGUGGCGAAGGCGGCCUUCUGGACUGACACUGACACUGAGGUGCGAAAGCGUGGGUAGCAAACAGGAUUAGAUACCCCAGUAGUC